UGUCCACUUUCCUCAUGAACUUGCCUCUAAUCUGUAAACGUUCCAACUUUCUUCACCUACAGUACCGGAGAUACCUUUAUCACACACAGUUCUGAUCAUAGUCCAUGCCACUUCAAGAAUCUUCAAUGUCUCUCAGUGUCUAACUUCCAAGCUCCUGACAGGACAACUUCCCAGUUUACAUUUUCCCAGGCCCUAGGAGCCAAAUCUAAGAAGUAUCAAAGAUAAGGAAACUGAAACCCAGAGAAGUCACCAAGGCCAUUUAACAAUAAAGGUAGG